UGGGGAAUAUUGGACAAUGGGCGCAAGCCUGAUCCAGCCAUGCCGCGUGAGUGACGAAGGCCUUAGGGUUGUAAAGCUCUUUUGGCGGGGACGAUAAUGACGGUACCCGCAGAAUAAGCUCCGGCUAACUUCGUGCCAGCAGCCGCGGUAAUACGAAGGGAGCUAGCGUUGUUCGGAAUCACUGGGCGUAAAGCGCACGUAGGCGGAUGUGUCAGUCAGGGGUGAAAUCCCGGAGCUCAACUUCGGAACUGCCCUUGAUACAGCACGUCUUGAGUCCGAUAGAGGUGGGUGGAAUUCCUAGUGUAGAGGUGAAAUUCGUAGAUAUUAGGAAGAACACCAGUGGCGAAGGCGACUCACUGGUCCGGUACUGACGCUGAGGUGCGAAAGCGUGGGGAGCAAACAGGAUUAGAUACCCUAGUAGUCCCUGAGCGGGCUGGCAAGGCGCAU
rnacentral:rRNA from 1 species